AUUGAACGCUGGCGGCAUGCCUUACACAUGCAAGUCGAACGGUAACAGGUCUUCGGAUGCUGACGAGUGGCGAACGGGUGAGUAAUACAUCGGAACGUGCCCGAUCGUGGGGGAUAACGGAGCGAAAGCUUUGCUAAUACCGCAUACGAUCUACGGAUGAAAGCAGGGGACCGCAAGGCCUUGCGCGAACGGAGCGGCCGAUGGCAGAUUAGGUAGUUGGUGGGAUAAAAGCUUACCAAGCCGACGAUCUGUAGCUGGUCUGAGAGGACGACCAGCCACACUGGGACUGAGACACGGCCCAGACUCCUACGGGAGGCAGCAGUGGGGAAUUUUGGACAAUGGGCGAAAGCCUGAUCCAGCCAUGCCGCGUGCAGGAUGAAGGCCUUCGGUUGUAAACUGCUUUUGUACGGACGAAAGACUCUGGUUAAUACCUGGGGUCCAUGACGGUACCGUAAGAAUAAGCACCGGCUAACUACGUGCCAGCAGCCGCGGUAAACGU
rnacentral:rRNA from 1 species